CCUACGGGCGGCAGCAGUGGGGAAUAUUGCACAAUGGGCGAAAGCCUGAUGCAGCAACGCCGCGUGAAGGAAGAAGGGUUUCGGCUCGUAAACUUCUAUCAACAGGGACGAAAGAAAUGACGGUACCUGAAUAAGAAGCCCCGGCUAACUACGUGCCAGCAGCCGCGGUAAUACGUAGGGGGCAAGCGUUAUCCGGAAUUACUGGGGGGAAAGGGUGAGUCGGCGGCAUGGUAAGCCAGAUGUGAAUGCCUUGGGCUUAACCCGAGGGUUGCAUUUGGAACUAUCAAGCUUGAGUACAGGAGAGGAAAGCGGAAUUCCUAGUGUAGCGGUGAAAUGCGUAGAUAUUAGGAGGAACACCAGUUGCGAAGGCGGCUCUCUGGACUGUAACUGACGCUGAGGCACGAAAGCGUGGGUAGCAAACAGGAUUAGAUACCCGAGUAGUC
rnacentral:rRNA from 1 species